GGGUUGUGAGGUUAAGCGACUAAGCGUACACGGUGGAUGCCCUGGCAGUCAGAGGCGAUGAAGGGCGUGCUAAUCUGCGAUAAGCGCCGGUAAGGUGAUAUGAACCGUUAUAACCGGCGAUACCCGAAUGGGGAAACCCAGUGUGACUCGUCACACUAUCAUUAACUGAAUCCAUAGGUUAAUGAGGCGAACCGGGGGAACUGAAACAUCUAAGUACCCCGAGGAAAAGAAAUCAACCGAGAUUCCCCCAGUAGCGGCGAGCGAACGGGGAGGAGCCCAGAGCCUGAAUCAGCAUGUGUGUUAGUGGAAGCGUCUGGAAAGGCGCGCGAUACAGGGUGACAGCCCCGUACACAAAAGCGCAUGUGCUGUGAGCUCGAUGAGUAGGGCGGGACACGUGGUAUCCUGUCUGAAUAUGGGGGGACCAUCCUCCAAGGCUAAAUACUCCUGACUGACCGAUAGUGAACCAGUACCGUGAGGGAAAGGCGAAAAGAACCCCGGCGAGGGGAGUGAAAAAGAACCUGAAACCGUGUACGUACAAGCAGUGGGAGCCCCACCACCAAAGCAUUCUCUGGUGUUGAAGGCCCUGCAAAGCAGCAUCGCGGUGGCGGAGCGUCGUUUGCGACGCCCAACACACAAAACAAGCGGUGAGUGCUUUGGGGUGGGGUGACUGCGUACCUUUUGUAUAAUGGGUCAGCGACUUAUAUUCUGUAGCAAGGUUAACCGAAUAGGGGAGCCGGAGGGAAACCGAGUCUUAAUUGGGCGUUAAGUUGCAGGGUAUAGACCCGAAACCCGGUGAUCUAGCCAUGGGCAGGUUGAAGGUUGGGUAACACUAACUGGAGGACCGAACCGACUAAUGUUGAAAAAUUAGCGGAUGACCUGUGGCUGGGGGUGAAAGGCCAAUCAAACCGGGAGAUAGCUGGUUCUCCCCGAAAGCUAUUUAGGUAGCGCCUCGUGAAUUCAUCUCCGGGGGUAGAGCACUGUUUCGGCUAGGGGGCCAUCCCGGCUUACCAACCCGAUGCAAACUGCGAAUACCGGAGAAUGUUAUCACGGGAGACACACGGCGGGUGCUAACGUCCGUCGUGAAGAGGGAAACAACCCAGACCGCCAGCUAAGGUCCCAAAGUCAUGGUUAAGUGGGAAACGAUGUGGGAAGGCCCAGACAGCCAGGAUGUUGGCUUAGAAGCAGCCAUCAUUUAAAGAAAGCGUAAUAGCUCACUGGUCGAGUCGGCCUGCGCGGAAGAUGUAACGGGGCUAAACCAUGCACCGAAGCUGCGGCAGCGACACUGUGUGUUGUUGGGUAGGGGAGCGUUCUGUAAGCCUGUGAAGGUGGCCUGUGAGGGUUGCUGGAGGUAUCAGAAGUGCGAAUGCUGACAUAAGUAACGAUAAAGCGGGUGAAAAGCCCGCUCGCCGGAAGACCAAGGGUUCCUGUCCAACGUUAAUCGGGGCAGGGUGAGUCGACCCCUAAGGCGAGGCCGAAAGGCGUAGUCGAUGGGAAACGGGUUAAUAUUCCCGUACUUGGUGUUACUGCGAAGGGGGGACGGAGAAGGCUAUGUUGGCCGGGCGACGGUUGUCCCGGUUUAAGCGUGUAGGUGUGUGUUCCAGGUAAAUCCGGUUCACUUUAACACUGAGGCGUGACGACGAGGCACUACGGUGCUGAAGCAACAAAUGCCCUGCUUCCAGGAAAAGCCUCUAAGCAUCAGGUAACAUCAAAUCGUACCCCAAACCGACACAGGUGGUCAGGUAGAGAAUACCAAGGCGCUUGAGAGAACUCGGGUGAAGGAACUAGGCAAAAUGGUGCCGUAACUUCGGGAGAAGGCACGCUGACACGUAGGUGAAGUGAUUUACUCACGGAGCUGAAGUCAGUCGAAGAUACCAGCUGGCUGCAACUGUUUAUUAAAAACACAGCACUGUGCAAACACGAAAGUGGACGUAUACGGUGUGACGCCUGCCCGGUGCCGGAAGGUUAAUUGAUGGGGUCAGCGCAAGCGAAGCUCCUGAUCGAAGCCCCGGUAAACGGCGGCCGUAACUAUAACGGUCCUAAGGUAGCGAAAUUCCUUGUCGGGUAAGUUCCGACCUGCACGAAUGGCGUAAUGAUGGCCAGGCUGUCUCCACCCGAGACUCAGUGAAAUUGAACUCGCUGUGAAGAUGCAGUGUACCCGCGGCAAGACGGAAAGACCCCGUGAACCUUUACUAUAGCUUGACACUGAACAUUGAGCCUUGAUGUGUAGGAUAGGUGGGAGGCUUUGAAGUGUGGACGCCAGUCUGCAUGGAGCCGACCUUGAAAUACCACCCUUUAAUGUUUGAUGUUCUAACGUGGACCCGUAAUCCGGGUUGCGGACAGUGUCUGGUGGGUAGUUUGACUGGGGCGGUCUCCUCCUAAAGAGUAACGGAGGAGCACGAAGGUUGGCUAAUCCUGGUCGGACAUCAGGAGGUUAGUGCAAUGGCAUAAGCCAGCUUGACUGCGAGCGUGACGGCGCGAGCAGGUGCGAAAGCAGGUCAUAGUGAUCCGGUGGUUCUGAAUGGAAGGGCCAUCGCUCAACGGAUAAAAGGUACUCCGGGGAUAACAGGCUGAUACCGCCCAAGAGUUCAUAUCGACGGCGGUGUUUGGCACCUCGAUGUCGGCUCAUCACAUCCUGGGGCUGAAGUAGGUCCCAAGGGUAUGGCUGUUCGCCAUUUAAAGUGGUACGCGAGCUGGGUUUAGAACGUCGUGAGACAGUUCGGUCCCUAUCUGCCGUGGGCGCUGGAGAACUGAGGGGGGCUGCUCCUAGUACGAGAGGACCGGAGUGGACGCAUCACUGGUGUUCGGGUUGUCAUGCCAAUGGCACUGCCCGGUAGCUAAAUGCGGAAGAGAUAAGUGCUGAAAGCAUCUAAGCACGAAACUUGCCCCGA
rnacentral:rRNA from 1 species